GGAUGUUAGUUCCCGAACUAGGGUUUUCAAAACAAAAGGAACUUGGACAUAUGAUGAAGCUCAAACAACCUACAACAAAAAAAGUUGUAAAAUGGUGCUACACCAGGAAACAAAGAAGUAC